GUGCCAGCCGCCGCGGUAAUACCGGCAGCCCGAGUGAUGGCCGAUAUUAUUGGGCCUAAAGCGUCCGUAGCUGGCCGAACAGGUCCGUCGGGAAAUCCACGUGCUCAACGAGUGGCCGUCCGGUGGAAACUCCACACCUUGGGACCGGAAGGCUCGAAGGGUACGGCCGGGGUAGGAGUGAAAUCCUGUAAUCCCGUCCGGACCACCGAUGGCGAAAGCACUUCGAGAAAACGGAUCCGACAGUGAGGGACGAAAGCUAAGAUCGCGAACCGGAUUAGAAACCCUGGUAGUCC
rnacentral:rRNA from 1 species